AAGUGACGGCUWACUACGUGCCAGCAGCCGCGGUAAAANNUAGGUCACAAGCGUUGUCCGGAAUUACUGGGUGUAAAGGGAGCGCAGGCCGGAARARRAGUUAGAAGUGAAAUCCAUGGGCUCAACCCAUGAACUGCUUUCAAAACUGUUUUUCUUGAGKAGUGCAGAGGRAGGCGGAAUUCCCSGUGUAGCGGUGGAAUGCGUAGAUAUCGGGAGGAACACCAGUGGCGAAGGAGGCCUACUGCUCACCAACUGACGAUGAGGCUCGAAAGUGUGGGUAGCAAACAGGAUUAGAUACCCUGGUAGUCCACACCGUAAACGAUGAUUACUAGGAGUUGUAGGAUUGACCCCUUCAGUCCCGCAAUUAACACAAUAAGUAAUCCACCUGGGGAGUACGACCGCAAGGUAGUAACUCGAAGGAAUUGACGGGGGCCCGCACAAGCAGUGGAGUAUGUGGUUUAAUUCGACGCAACGCGAAGAACCUUACCUAGUCUUGACAUCCCGCGACGCAGAUGAYAAUAUURUUUCCCUUCGGGACGCAGAGACAGGUGGUGCAUGGUUGUCGUCAGCUCGUGUCGUGAGAUGUUGGGUUAGUCCCGCAACGAGCGCAACCCUUAUGGUCAGUUACUACGC
rnacentral:rRNA from 1 species